rnacentral:rRNA from 1 species
GACGAACGCUGGCGGCGUGCUUAACACAUGCAAGUCGAACGGAAAGGCCCUGCUUUUGUGGGGUGCUCGAGUGGCGAAAGGGUGUGUAACACGUGAGUAACCUCUCCUUUACUUUGGGAUAACUUCAUGAAACUGGGGCUAAUACCGGAUAGGAGCUCCUGCUGCAUGGUGUGGGUUGUAAAGUUUCGGCGGUUGGGGAUGUACGCGCGGCUCAUCAGCUUGUUGGUGGGGUAGUGGCUUACCAAGGCUCUGACGGGUAGCCGGCCUGCGAGGGUGACCGGCCACAUUGGGACUGAGAGGCGGCCCGGACGGCUACGGGAGGCAGCGGUGGAGAAUAGUGCACAAUGGGCGGAGGCAUGAUGGAAGAACGCCGCGUGGUGGAUGACGGCUGUCAGGGUGGAAAGCGCUUUCGCCUGUGACGAAGAGUGAGUGACGGUAAUGGGUAAAGAAGCACCGGCUAACUACGUG